UGAUAAAAAUUCAUCUAUUUCUAUUGUUAAAAACUAGCAUGGUUAAUAGAAUAACCAAAUAGUGGCAUGUGAUUUGCCAGGUGUACCUCAUGCUGACUUUCAGGGACCAGUUAAAAAUGGAUGGAAUUUUUAACA
rfam:Gossypium raimondii Chr07_contig_1371, whole genome shotgun sequence.